rnacentral:tRNA from 1 species
GCCGGAGUGGCGGAACUGGCAGACGCGUCGGUCUCAAACACCGAUGAGCGCAAGCUCGUGUGAGUUCAAAUCUCACCUCCGGCACCA